ACCGAGUUCACCACCAGGCUCCUGCGCGCCCCGCCCACAGCCCGGCGGGGGGAGGGGCUGAAGGACGCGUCGUUUCCCCGCCUGUGGAGCGCAGAGCACAGUGGACACAGCAGUAAACUCACCGUGUUAAAGAAGGUCAUCAGCACAUACUGAGACACAUUUACAGACAAGAUGGUAAAAUGGAUAUGAAAUGAUAUGGCUCCCAAGAGCAGCUCUGUGGUAAAAACUGACCACUGAUGAAAGGCUAGAGGAUGGCUAACACAGUUUAUCAACAGAUGGACCCCAGUCUGUAAGUGCACAUCAGUGGGGUGGAGCUAUGAGGGAGAGGCUUGUAAUAGUGGCUGCUGCUCCUCCAGCUGAUGCAGUUUGGCCUCCAGGGCGGAGAUAGAAGCCUUCAUCUUGGACUUGGCCUGUCCUUCGGCCUCCUGCAGCUUCGUCUUCAGCUCCCUGUUCUGUCUCUCCAGCUGCUGCCGGACGCUCUC